AUUAUUGUUGAUCAAAUCGAUUAAAUUUCAUAUGUAAAAUCGAUUAACCUAAGGACCUAAUUCAGCUCGAUGGCUUGAGCCUGAUUCACUGAAGCUAAUCUAUUUGGACCAAUUAACCUAUUGGUGUCUAAGAUAAGUAAUUGAGAGAUGGUUAUUUAAUUGGUUCCAUUCACUUACUUGAUCAAUUUAUUGGUGUCUAAGAAAAGCAAUGAGGGUACCCCCAACGAUCUUCACUUAUCUGGCCA
rnacentral:lncRNA from 1 species